rnacentral:rRNA from 1 species
UGGGGAAUAUUGGACAAUGGGCGAAAGCCUGAUCCAGCCAUGCCGCGUGUGUGAAGAAGGUCUUCGGAUUGUAAAGCACUUUAAGUUGGGAGGAAGGGUUGUAGAUUAAUACUCUGCAAUUUUGACGUUACCGACAGAAUAAGCACCGGCUAACUCUGUGCCAGCAGCCGCGGUAAUACAGAGGGUGCAAGCGUUAAUCGGAAUUACUGGGCGUAAAGCGCGCGUAGGUGGUAUGUUAAGUUGGAUGUGAAAGCCCCGGGCUCAACCUGGGAACUGCAUCCAAAACUGGCAAGCUAGAGUACGGUAGAGGGUGGUGGAAUUUCCUGUGUAGCGGUGAAAUGCGUAGAUAUAGGAAGGAACACCAGUGGCGAAGGCGACCACCUGGACUGAUACUGACACUGAGGUGCGAAAGCGUGGGGAGCAAACA